CUCGUUCAGUCGUCGUUGCGUGUUGUAGGUGGCCUGGUCUACUGAGCUCCGUUUGGACUGCUCCUCCUCCAACUACUACUGCGGCCGCUGCUGCUGCUGCUGCGGCUGCUGCAUCCGCCUGCAACCUGCAACACUCACACCACGGCAACAG
ensembl:ncRNA mir-4973 mir-4973 stem loop